AAUAGCUAUCUGCCGGGGUCCAGCCCCGGUGGAUCCAGGGUGAUUCGAAGGUGGGGACGGAGUCGGCGUCUUUGGAAAAAUACAUAUUUAAUCACAGAUAUAGAGAGAUUGUAAAUGGAUAGUGCAGUAGGAAGAUUAGUGGAGAAAAAGAGGCUGAAUAACUUGGAUUACGUGGAAUAGCAUCCAUGCUCCAGAUGGGAAUUCAGCCAGAAAAACGGGAGCAAGAAAGAAGCGACAUGGGGGAAUCAGUCUUUCCGGAAACUGAUCCGAUUUCUUUAUUUUUGGGUUUGCUUAUAUACCUUUUGUUACACAUAGGGAUGAAUACAGAGUCACGUGGGGGUCAGCAGUCCUGACCUUUGUCAAAAUCAGGUGCUUCACAUAAAUGUAUAAAAAAAAAGGUCUUAGGGAUAUUACAUCAUCUUUUAGCCAUGAGUGAGACCUGCUUACAUUUUAUGAUCCUUUCUUUCUGAUAACCAAAAAAAACUUAUUUCUUCCAAGGGUGUUUUUUCUUAAACCAGGCACCACCCUCCAAAUAAAGUUACAUUCCUAUAGGGUGAGGGUGUAGUGAGUUACAAUCAAGAAAGGAAUUUAUUCAACCCAAGGUUAACAUGAUUAGUCUUAAAGGUUAAUACUUAUUUCUUCCUAUAUGCUAGUUAUAUUCAUUAUAAGGGUAGGGAACAUGGAGAUUUAGCAGCAAACAUCAACCCAACAAAUGAAAAUCCUUUCACCAAUGCUCCCCUUAAGAUCUAUUUAGUCUUAAGAUAUGAUAAAGUUACAUUCUUACACAGCAAGGACACAGUGAUAUAUAACAAAGUACAGUGAUCUAUUACAAAAGAGAAAAUCCAUUAACUCAAAAAGUCUAGUAUUGCUAACAUCAAAAACUACCAUAUUUCCUUUGCUAUAUUCCAAAUACAUUGAUUAAUAUAUUCCCAGGUGCCUAAGGAUAUGGAGGCCUGGCGGCAAUCAUUGACUCAACAAGAAGAGAAAGUCCUAUGCUAAUUAAGACUCUCAAAAUACUCCAAAACUCUCUGUGCUGUUUAUGGUUGAGAGGUAGUAAACAGUCAUGUGCCUAGUGGCGGCAGUAAGGAUAAUCCUGUCACACAAGCUAGUCUGUCAGCAGAGAGGUUUGACCUGAGACAUCCUUGUCCCACCCAGCGCAGGGAAUUAGCAACAAUUGUU
ensembl:lncRNA